UACGGGGGGAGCAAGCGUUGUUCGGAUUUACUGGGCGUAAAGGGCGCGUAGGCGGCGUGACAAGUCACUUGUGAAAUCUCCGGGCUUAACUCGGAGCGGUCAAGUGAUACUGUCGUGCUAGAGUGCGGAAGGGGCUACUGGAAUUCUCGGUGUAGCGGUGAAAUGCGUAGAUAUCGAGAGGAACACCUGCGGCGAAGGCGGGUAGCUGGGCCGACACUGACGCUGAUGCGCGAAAGCCAGGGGAGGCGAACGGG
rnacentral:rRNA from 1 species